GAUCUACGCCUUCUUUAAGACUUUUUCCUCAUGUAUUUGGUAUUCGAAGGGCCACCAAAAAAAGGAGAAACACUUGCAAAAGGUUUUGAUGAUCUUUACAAAUGUGGAAAAUAGGUAUAUUUUCAUAACUAGUGAAAAUAUGUUGCAGUCAUUGCAUAUUGAAACAAAAAAAAGUGACUUCUAAAUGGUAGUUGUUUCCUUUUGGAAGUAAAGUGGCCACUAGUUGCUAGGAUACAACAUUGGAGUGCUUUUCAUUUGGAGUAUCUUUCUUUAAAUGUAGGAAAUUGUUCAACAUUUCAAUCUUGUAAUCAAAAUACUCUUACGCUGGAGGAAAUUUUAUAUUAUGUUGGCAAUUGUAGAUGUAAAAUUAGUGGAAUAUCUAAUUUAUGUUGUUAUGCUACUUGUAUAUGUAACCUUAUGAUUAACCUUGAGCUUAAAUACAUAUUUGAUUUAAUACCCAAUUUAGUUUCUUAAUUUAUUUCAAGUGCUCAAUUAUAUUUUUCGUAUGCAUGUGGAUCUUUUUGUUUUAUAAUUUUAACCAAUUGGAUCAUUUCCGGCAAACUGAGUGGAUGUCCCUCAAGUGAUGAAUCCAUCACUAUAUAUAUUAUUAUUUUAGAAUUAACAAGAAUAAAAAAUAGCGAGAAAUUUAGAUUUGUCUUCGGAUUAGGUAACAGCCAUGAGGCGGUCUCGGCCUCCUCGGGUGUUGAGGUCAACGUCGGAGAAGAAGUGAAGGCCAUCGAGGAAGUACGGACUCAAAGAACGGCGCGACGGGGAUGCGCUGGUGGCGGCAGGCGAGGCAGAGCAUGGCAGCGACGGCCUUGCAUGUGACAUGCGCCGACGCCUGUUCGAACACCUCGCAGAGCGCCACGCGCGAGUGGCGGCGUGGACCUUAGCAUUGCACGUGCCGCAGAGAAACGUUGCCCAAGGAUAAGUUCUUACGAGUUAUUCACCUGUUCAUGAAUGAAAACACCACCUCUCGUCCAACUUGUAUAUAAGGGCUUCUUUUAGUAUGUUUUUCCUCAAUUUUUCAUUUGAAAUAUCGUAACAAUUGUGCUAGCUAGGUUUCGAAUGUUUAGAUUUUUAUUACAACACCAACAUAUCCAUACUGUACUAGGAUUUUGCCAUAUUGAUGUCAAGCCUCAAUCUAAUUAAAGUUUCCUCAGUGACCUGCACCUUCUAAACCUAUUGUAUGCUUCGUCCUCUUCUUCUCUUUGCACAAGCCUCAAAUGGUUGAUGUUUUCACUUUCA